AUUGAACGCUGGCGGCAUGCCUUACACAUGCAAGCCGAACGGUAACGGGCCUUCGGGUGCCGACGAGUGGCGAACGGGUGAGUAAUACAUCGGAACGUGCCCGAUCGUGGGGGAUAACGAGGCGAAAGCUUUGCUAAUACCGCAUACGAUCUACGGAUGAAAGCAGGGGACCGCAAGGCCUUGCGCGGACGGAGCGGCCGAUGGCAGAUUAGGUAGUUGGUGGGAUAAAAGCUUACCAAGCCGACGAUCUGUAGCUGGUCUGAGAGGAUGAUCAGCCACACUGGGACUGAGACACGGCCCAGACUCCUACGGGAGGCAGCAGUGGGGAAUUUUGGACAAUGGGCGCAAGCCUGAUCCAGCCAUGCCGCGUGCAGGAUGAAGGCCCUCGGGUUGUAAACUGCUUUUGUACGGAACGAAAAGCCUUCUUUUAAUACAGGAGGGUCAUGACGGUACCGUAAGAAUAAGCACCGGCUAACUACGUG
rnacentral:rRNA from 1 species